rnacentral:rRNA from 1 species
GAUCAUGGCUCAGGAUGAACGCUAGCGACAGGCUUAACACAUGCAAGUCGAGGGGCAGCGGGGUGUAGCAAUACACCGCCGGCGACCGGCGCACGGGUGAGUAACGCGUAUCCAACCUGCCCACCACUUGGGGAUAACCUUGCGAAAGUAAGACUAAUACCCAAUGACAUCCCACGAAGACAUCUGAAUGGGAUUAAAGAUUUAUCGGUGAUGGAUGGGGAUGCGUCUGAUUAGCUUGG